rnacentral:rRNA from 1 species
UACGUAGGGUGCAAGCGUUAAUCGGAAUUACUGGGCGUAAAGAGCUCGUAGGUGGUUUGUCGCGUUGUUCGUGAAAACUCACAGCUUAACUGUGGGCGUGCGGGCGAUACGGGCAGACUGGAGUACUGCAGGGGAGACUGGAAUUCCUGGUGUAGCGGUGGAAUGCGCAGAUAUCAGGAGGAACACCGGUGGCGAAGGCGGGUCUCUGGGCAGUAACUGACGCUGAGGAGCGAAAGCGUGGGGAGCAAACAGG